rnacentral:rRNA from 1 species
UACGAAGGGGGCUAGCGUUGUUCGGAAUUAUUGGGCGUAAAGGGCGCGUAGGCGGCUUGACAAGUGGCGGGUGAAAUCCCUCGGCUUAACCGAGGAACUGCCUGCCAGACUGUCUUGCUUGAGACCGGGAGAGGUGAGUGGAAUUCCCAGUGUAGCGGUGAAAUGCGUAGAUAUUGGGAGGAACACCAGUGGCGAAGGCGGCUCACUGGACCGGAACUGACGCUGAGGCGCGAAAGCGUGGGGAGCAAACAGG